AUGGCAGUGGUGGCCUGUCUGGAGCAGUGGCUGCAGGUUCUCCAGCUGCAGCAGAGGGGGCACCACCAGGCCAUCAAACUCCAAAUAGCCAUGCAAAUGGAGCCUCAGAUGAUGACUCCUUUUCACUGGGGAUCCUUAGAUAGGCCUCUGAGAGAAGAUCUGACUUCUGUUUUCCCCAAAACAUGCCCCCUGUCACCAUGAAGCAGUUAAGAUAAGUCAUCACGGGAUCCUAACACAGGAGGGAUUGAUGGCAGCAGCAGCCCAUCUGGAGCAGCUGGAGCUGUGCACUCCAGAAAGCUGGCAGGAACAAGGAACAGGUGGGAGACCUGCCCCCUUCCAAGUUGGCAGUGUGGGAGCCCUGCCCUGCUGGGUUCAGCUGUAGCCACCCAGCCAUGGCUGUGUACGCAGGCAUCUCUGCACUCUUAGGGGACUGGGAAGCCCUGUGUCCCCAGAGGCUCAGAAGUGCCUGUUCCCACUGCCUGGCCUCUCCCAGCUCCUGGCACAUGCUCUGAUUUUGGAGCAAAUUUGAAGCCAAGCCUGGGCCCUGUCACUGUCCAGCUGGAUAUGCCUGAACCCAAGGCAGUGCUGACAUGCCAGCCCCCUGCCACCUCAGCCCCCUCUGGAACUUGGGUGCUGAUAAGCACAGGAAGGAGUCUGAGGUGAAGCUUAGGGUGGCUUGGCACAGGUCUGCAGGCAUCCCUUGGCAUGAAAAGCCCGGGUGUCAUGGAUGACAUGGUUGGUGGUGGCAGGAGACAGACAGGUUCCUGGGUAGAAAGGGGUGGGUAUCCAGUGAAAUCCCACCUUCAAGCCAGGGAUGGCCUAAAGUAUGGGGAUUGGGCUGUCAGUUCUGCUGGGAGAAGUUAAUGGACCAGAGCGAGAACUUAUGAUACUUUUUCUGGACCCACCCAUGUCUACCCAUGAACCUUCCUCCCUUCUGAGCCUGAGAAAAUCCUGGACUCAGCCAGACUCGAACAAUCAUUGGGAUGACCUGCCUUCUUCAUAAAGGAACUACUCACUUCAGAU
rnacentral:lncRNA from 1 species